rnacentral:rRNA from 1 species
UCGAGGAUCUUGGACAAUGGGCGAAAGCCUGAUCCAGCGACGCCGCGUGAGGGAUGAAGGUCUUCGGAUUGUAAACCUCUGUCACUUGGGAAAAACGCUUUGAACCUAACACGUUCAAAGUUGAUGGUACCAGGAGAGGAAGGGACGGCUAACUCUGUGCCAGCAGCCGCGGUAAUACAGAGGUCCCAAGCGUUGUUCGGAUUUACUGGGCUUAAAGGGUGCGCAGGCGGUCAGAUAAGUCGGGUGUGAAAUCCCAAGGCUUAACCUUGGAACUGCGCCCGAAACUGUUUGGCUCGAGGAUUGGAGAGGAGACUGGAAUUCACGGUGUAGCGGUGAAAUGCGUAGAUAUCGUGAGGAACACCAAUGGCGAAGGCAGGUCUCUGGACAAUUUCUGACGCUCAUGCACGAAAGCCAGGGGAGCAAACGGGAUUAGAUACCCGCGUAGUCC